GCAAGUCGAGCGAGAAAUCACUUCGGUGAGAGUACAGCGGCGGACGGGUGAGUAACGCGUAGGAAUCUACCUGGUAGUGGGGGACAACAUGUGGAAACGCAUGCUAAUACCGCAUACGACCUAAGGGUGAAAGUGGGGGACCUUCGGGCCUCACGCUAUCGGAUGAGCCUGCGUAAGAUUAGCUAGUUGGUGGGGUAAAGGCUCACCAAGGCGACGAUAGCUAGGGGGUCUGAGAGGAUGAUC
rnacentral:rRNA from 1 species